rnacentral:rRNA from 1 species
AGACCCGAAACCCGGUGAUCUAGCCAUGGGCAGGUUGAAGGUUGGGUAACACUAACUGGAGGACCGAACCGACUAAUGUUGAAAAAUUAGCGGAUGACUUGUGGCUGGGGGUGAAAGGCCAAUCAAACCGGGAGAUAGCUGGUUCUCCCCGAAAGCUAUUUAGGUAGCGCCUCGUGAAUUCAUCUCCGGGGGUAGAGCACUGUUUCGGCAAGGGGGUCAUCCCGACUUACCAACCCGAUGCAAACUGCGAAUACCGGAGAAUGUUAUCACGGGAGACACACGGCGGGUGCUAACGUCCGUCGUGAAGAGGGAAACAACCCAGACCGCCAGCUAAGGUCCCAAAGUCAUGGUUAAGUGGGAAACGAUGUGGGAAGGCCCAGACAGCCAGGAUGUUGGCUUAGAAGCAGCCAUCAUUUAAAGAAAGCGUAAUAGCUCACUGGUCGAGUCGGCCUGCGCGGAAGAUGUAACGGGGCUAAACCAUGCACCGAAGCUGCGGCAGCGACACUGUGUGUUGUUGGGUAGGGGAGCGUUCUGUAAGCCUGUGAAGGUGUGCUGUGAGGCAUGCUGGAGGUAUCAGAAGUGCGAAUGCUGACAUA